AUUGAACGCUGGCGGCAUGCCUUACACAUGCAAGUCGAACGGCAGCACGGGAGCAAUCCUGGUGGCGAGUGGCGAACGGGUGAGUAAUAUAUCGGAACGUGCCCGGUCGUGGGGAUAACGUAGCGAAAGCUACGCUAAUACCGCAUACGAUCUACGGAUGAAAGCGGGGGAUCGCAAGACCUCGCGCGAUUGGAGCGGCCGAUAUCAGAUUAGGUAGUUGGUGAGGUAAAGGCUCACCAAGCCGACGAUCUGUAGCUGGUCUGAGAGGACGACCCAGCCACACUGGGACUGAGACACGGCCCAGACUCCUACGGGAGGCAGCAGUGGGAAUUUUGGACAAUGGGCGCAAGCCUGAUCCAGCAAUGCCGCGUGCAGGAUGAAGGCCUUCGGGU
rnacentral:rRNA from 1 species